UGUGACAGAGGAUGCAGAAAAGGCUGAUGUGCCUUUUUUGCCUCCAUCUUCACAGACAAGGGCAGCUCCCAGGCUACUGCGCUGGGCAGCUCAGUUUGAGGUGGAGGUGAGCACC